rnacentral:rRNA from 1 species
UACAGAGGGUGCGAGCGUUAAUCGGAAUUACUGGGCGUAAAGCGUGCGUAGGCGGUUACGUAAGUCAGAUGUGAAAGCCCCGGGCUCAACCUGGGAAUUGCAUUUGAGACUGCGUAGCUAGGGUGCAGAAGAGGGAAGCGGAAUUUCCGGUGUAGCGGUGAAAUGCGUAGAUAUCGGAAGGAACACCAGUGGCGAAAGCGGCUUCCUGGUCCAGCACCGACGUUCAGGCACGAAAGCGUGGGGAGCAAACAGG